AUUGAACGCUGGCGGCAGGCCUAACACAUGCAAGUCGGGCGGUAACACAGGGAGCUUGCUCCUGGGUGACGAGCGGCGGACGGGUGAGUAAUGUCUGGGAAACUGCCUGAUGGAGGGGGAUAACUACUGGAAACGGUAGCUAAUACCGCAUAACGUCGCAAGACCAAAGAGGGGGACCUUCGGGCCUCUUGCCAUCAGAUGUGCCCAGAUGGGAUUAGCUAGUAGGUGGGGUAACGGCUCACCUAGGCGACGAUCCCUAGCUGGUCUGAGAGGAUGACCAGCCACACUGGAACUGAGACACGGUCCAGACGCCUACGGGAGGCAGCAGUGGGGAAUAUUGCACAAUGGGCGCAAGCCUGAUGCAGCCAUGCCGCGUGUAUGAAGAAGGCCUUCGGGUUGUAAAGUACUUUCAGCGGGGAGGAAGGUGUUGUGGUUAAUAACCACAGCAAUUGACGUUACCCGCAGAAGAAGCACCGGCUAACUCCGUGCCAGCAGCCGCCGCAGUAA
rnacentral:rRNA from 1 species